GACCCAGUGGCGGAUGGUCCGCGUCUCCAUUCUUUGAGCUAGCCUGAUGAAUGGUUACGGAGAAGUCGCCCGUUCGAUUCGGGCCUGGGUCA